rnacentral:lncRNA from 1 species
GGGUGCUCGAUGAUCUCCAAGACAAUGAGGUUCUCACUGAGAAUGAGAAGGAGCUGGUGGAGCAGGCAAAGACACGGCAGAGCAAGAAUGACAUCCUGCUGACCAUGGUGGAGAAGAAAGGGGACCGGGCCCUGGAGCUGCUCUUCAGAAGCAUUAGUGAAAGGGACCCUUACCUCGUGUCCUAUCUUAGACAGCAGAAUUUGUAAAGUGAGUCAGUCAGAGAGUGUGGAAGAGAGAAUCCAGCGUUCUCAUUGGAAAUGAAUGAAUAGAAAUGCAUCCUUGAUUCCAGUGUCCAAAACAGAGAGGGGCUGGGUAACAUUUGCCCAUCACACAGGCUUUGGGGACAGAUACGUAACCUGGAAGAUACCCAUUGGCUGUAUCCCCAUGCCUUUCCCUCAAGAAUAUCUGAAGAAAAUAACAAUAGUGCUCUUAAUUUUUUUCUAACCGUGGCUCAAUUUGUGACUAUUCCGUCCAUUGACACGUUUCCUGAAGACCCGGGGUGAAGAAAGUCAAGGCAGUUGUGUUUGUGCAUGACAGGCUCUAGAAAGGAAAAUUCUCCUGAUUAACAUGAAAACUAGCUUUUAUGGACACUCUUUGAAGUCUCACCAUUCCACCACAAAAUACAGGAAAGCUAACAAAGUCUCUCAGUUGAAGAUAUCCAAGGGUUAAUAGAGAUACAGUGGAGAAAUAAAUAAAUACAACUUUUGAUAAAUGGGAAGAAGGAGAUGUUCAAAAAAGAGGUGUCCGAAAUGGCUUUUCAGAUGGCUGUGUGGAUGCAGAUGCAAUCAGAGCUCAACGAAGGAGUAUUCUGUGCCUCGCUGCCGUUACAGAGAGCAUCACCGUGGCGAACGGGACAUGACUGCAGCAGCUUCCAUUUCCCAUCAGAUAGCAUUCCAUAAGUAAGAAACAUGUAUUCU